rnacentral:rRNA from 1 species
AGCGAACGCUGGCGGCAGGCCUAACACAUGCAAGUCGAACGAAGUCUUCGGACUUAGUGGCGGACGGGUGAGUAACACGUGGGAACGUGCCUUUAGGUUCGGAAUAACUCAGGGAAACUUGUGCUAAUACCGAAUGUGCCCUUCGGGGGAAAGAUUUAUCGCCUUUAGAGCGGCCCGCGUCUGAUUAGCUAGUUGGUGAGGUAAAGGCUCACACAGGCGACGAUCAGUAGCUGGUCUGAGAGGAUGAUCAGCCACAUUGGGACUGAGACACGGCCCAAACUCCUACGGGAGGCAGCAGUGGGGAAUCUUGCGCAAUGGGCGAAAGCCUGACGCAGCCAUGCCGCGUGAAUGAUGAAGGUCUUAGGAUUGUAAAAUUCUUUCACCGGGGACGAUAAUGACGGUACCCGGAGAAGAAGCCCCGGCUAACUUCGUGCCAGCCGCCGCGGUAA